rnacentral:lncRNA from 13 species
CCAAUCUUUAGACCUACUCUUUGGAAUAACUGGAUCUCUACAUUUAAUUUUUCUUCCAGCGUAAGAAGCAAGGCUGAAUGGAUGGUAGCAAUAAUCACGUGCUUUCAUUCUGUGGUCGGCAAGAGGAGGAAAGAAACAAAUGCUGAUGGGUUUAUUCUAUGACACUACAGCACCAAAAGGACAAAACCUAUGAACAGUCCUUUGACAAAUGCAUGGUGUCAAUUGAAAACGGAGUUGGGUUGAAGCAUCUAUUCAACACAGCAAAUCUACCAUCACCUUAAAGCAGCACCAACAGACAUGUCUUUCCAUACUGUGGCCUCAGGAGAAAGGAAUGAGGAUCCACCUGGUGCAAGGAAUAAACCUGGACUCUCAGCAAUGAGGGGAGAAAAGGCUUGCAACCCUGCAGUGACUGGGAAACUCUGUUCACAGACCAAGGUAAGAAAUGUCAUGGGAGUGACCAAGUAUUUCCUUGGUGGUUACUCCAAAUGUUUUAUAAAGGCUGAGACUAGUCAGCCAAGAUUCUAACGUUACUAAGAAGAAAAGAAGUUUAUUGAUGGCUAUCAAGUAGCUUACAGGCUCAUCAUGAGGGUUGGAGAAUUGAUAUGAGAUACUCACCCCAGGAGCAAUGUCAAAAGUUAGGCUGUAGUACUGGCCCAGUGAGAAUACCAUUGCUAAACAUUAAAUGCUGUGGCUUGUACCUCAAAUAACAUUAACACCUCUUGCUGGAUCCCACCCUUAACAUCACUCCUUCUGUCCCAGGAUUCAGUCCAUCUGUGACUACUGCUAUUGUCAGUAAGUCUCUGAGGCAUGUGGUUAUGACUGAGGAAACUUAGUUCAUUUGCCUGUACUUCAGCUGCAGAGAAUCCCUGAGCAAUAGUAUCUAGCACUUUCCACUGCUGCCUUCCAUGAAGAUCAUAAGAUAGAACAUUCCACAGAGAAGGUAUUCAAGUAUUAGAUGGCCUAAACUAAUGACACUACUAUAAUACUCACUUGAAACUGACUGGAAAUACUAUAUAGCACUGAGUCAAUUAGUAAACAUUUAUUAUUGAAUGAUAUUAUAUAAAACAAAUUAGAAUUAUUUAAGAAAUGAGUAAUGACUCAAAAGAUUUAUAAGAGCCAGACAGGUAAGAUAGAGUAAUGAGAUAGAACAGGUUCAAAAUAAAAAUUGAGAGUGCUGGUGACA